CCUACGGGCGGCUGCAGUGAGGAAUAUUGGUCAAUGGACGAGAGUCUGAACCAGCCAAGUAGCGUGAAGGAUGACUGCCCUAUGGGUUGUAAACUUCUUUUAUAUGGGAAUAAAAUGUUCCACGUGUGGGAUUUUGUAUGUACCAUAUGACUAAGGAUCGGCUAACUCCGUGCCAGCAGCCGCGGUAAUACGGAGGAUCCGAGCGUUAUCCGGAUUUAUUGGGUUUAAAGGGAGCGUAGGUGGAGUGUUAAGUCAGUUGUGAAAGUUUGCGGCUCAACCGUAAAAUUGCAGUUGAAACUGGCAGUCUUGAGUACAGUAGAGGUGGGCGGAAUUCGUGGUGUAGCGGUGAAAUGCUUAGAUAUCACGAAGAACUCCGAUUGCGAAGGCAGUUCACUGGACUGCAACUGACACUGAGGCUCGAAAGUGUGGGUAUCAAACAGGAUUAGAUACCCCUGUAGUC
rnacentral:rRNA from 1 species